rnacentral:rRNA from 1 species
UACGCAGGGGGCUAGCGUUGCUCGGAAUCACUGGGCGUAAAGCGCACGUAGGCGGACUCUUAAGUCAGGGGUGAAAUCCUGGAGCUCAACUCCAGAACUGCCUUUGAUACUGGGAGUCUUGAGUCCGGAAGAGGUAAGUGGAACUGCGAGUGUAGAGGUGAAAUUCGUAGAUAUUCGCAAGAACACCAGUGGCGAAGGCGGCUCACUGGCCCGAUACUGACGCUGAGGUGCGAAAGCGUGGGGAGCAAACAGG